rnacentral:rRNA from 1 species
GAUGAACGCUGGCGGCGUGCCUAAUACAUGCAAGUCGAGCGAACAGAUGAGGAGCUUGCUCCUCUGACGUUAGCGGCGGACGGGUGAGUAACACGUGGAUAACCUACCUAUAAGACUGGGAUAACUUCGGGAAACCGGAGCUAAUACCGGAUAAUAUAUUGAACCGCAUGGUUCAAUAGUGAAAGACGGUUUUGCUGUCACUUAUAGAUGGAUCCGCGCCGCAUUAGCUAGUUGGUAAGGUAACGGCUUACCAAGGCAACGACGCGUAGCCGACCUGAGAGGGUGAUCGGCCACACUGGAACUGAGACACGGUCCAGACUCCUACGGGAGGCAGCAGUAGGGAAUCUUCCGCAAUGGGCGAAAGCUUGACGGAGCAACGCCGCGUGAGUGAUGAAGGUCUUCGGAUCGUAAAACUCUGUUAUUAGGGAAGAACAAAUGUGUAAGUAACUAUGCACGUCUUGACGGUACCUAAUCAGAAAGCCACGGCUAACUACGUG